rnacentral:rRNA from 1 species
UACGUAGGGUGCAAGCGUUGUCCGGAUUUAUUGGGCGUAAAGAGCUCGUAGGCGGUCUGUCGCGUCGGAUGUGAAAACCCAGGGCUCAACCCUGGGCCUGCAUUCGAUACGGGCAGACUAGAGUAUGGCAGGGGAGACUGGAAUUCCUGGUGUAGCGGUGAAAUGCGCAGAUAUCAGGAGGAACACCAGUGGCGAAGGCGGGUCUCUGGGCCAAAACUGACGCUGAGGAGCGAAAGCCAGGGGAGCAAACGGG